CGACCUGCACCCCAGCUCACGGCAACGCCGGAUCCCUGACCCUAGUAUUUGGACUUUAACUUCAAAAAAGGAACAGGAGUUCCCUGGCAGCCUAGUAGUUGAGGAUCGGGUGUGCUCGCUGCAGUGGCGCAGGUUCCAACCCCGGCGGCAGUGCAGCCCAAGAAGAAAGGGCACAUGACUUGAUUGGGAUCGACCUCACCUACCGAGCGUGAGAGGCGAGGCGCCGAGGCCCGCCCUUCCUCCCCGCGCCUGGCACCUGCCCUGCGUUGGCAGCUGCAGAGGCAGGACCGGCCACACACGAGUCCGUUCACGGCCACGCUGUGGGGCUCCAUUCCCCGUGCAAGGGCCACCCGGGUCGUCUUUUGUGCACCUAGGGGAACCGGAGGCUCCCCUGUGGACGCCUCUCUGGGGGUCCUGGACAGUGUCCGCCUGUGGGGACGUGUCAACCAAACAGGACUAAGCACAAGCAGAGAGCACACGGCAGAGGUGACCGUGGUGACACAGAAUUACGUUUGUGGGGGGAGGGGCAGGUUCCGAGGCUGCCCCGGCGACGGCCUUCCCCAGGAUGGGCCACUUCCUCGCCGUCCACUCGGUUGCACAAAGUGAACGAGGGGCGAGGGGCGGGGAGCGGGCUGCGCCUCUGCCGGCCCGCCCCCCGCCCUGCCGGACGCACAGGGGGCUCUGCUGCUCGACGGGAAACGGCUCCGGUGACCACUCGGUGGAAGCACAGGUAGGACAGGAGCGGGGAGCAGAAGGUGGGUGUGCUAGGUGAAGGACCGAAAGAAUGUGUAAGUACGUACACACACACACACACACACACACACACACCCCAGCCAGCCCGGAGGCUGGAAACCCAGGGGAGCCAAAGUAGCAGUUCAAAUGCAAAGGCAGGACAAAGGCCUGGGGAGCCUCUCUUAGCCCCAGGAGAGGAUGCCGGCCGUCAGCUGCUUAGGUGAGGCCCACCCCGUUGAGGCCAAUGGGCUUUACGCAGUCUAUGGAUUUAAGUGGUGACCGUCACAGGGGUUUAGAUGAGAACCCCUCCAUGGGUCAGGCGGUUCAGGAGCGAAAAGCAGGAGGACAAAAAGCCAGGAGAGCACCACUCAUUCAUUCAUUCACUCCUUCUUCUCUGGGGGUCGAAUAUUCGCAAGGGUUCUGCCCAUUGUCUGCCCUGAGGUACUUGUGUACCCGGCAUACAGUAGUUGUUUAAUGAGUGCGCGGCUUCAGUUCAAAAUGACCUUGACAUUUCCUACCUGCUCCCCACACCCUGUUUUGUUUCCCUGCAGGUGACAGAGAAGCUUCCGGUGCCCUCCGUGGAGUCCGUGGCUGGGGACCAGCUGCCCCCCGUACCACUUCUGCCGUCAAAGUCAUCGGGAAAAAGCUUUCUCCCUGCUGUGCCUGCGGCCUCGAAGCUAAGACCCAGCCUCAGUUUUCACGCAGAUGAGACCACGCGCCACGCGCCGGAGGUCAGCUUCACCUUCCCCAGCGCCACCUGGCAGAGCAGCACAGGCCCCAGCAGGGCGCCCCUCCGGCCCCGGGACAUCCGAGGGUCUACAGACAGCGGAGGCCGACGUCACAGCCCACUGCCCCCUGGCCACCGCCACAAGCACCAGGGUGGCAGCGCCCAGUGGCCGAGGAGACCACAGUAAAGAUGGCAGCAAGCAGAGCGCCACUGUCACGCUGAGGGAAGGUCCGAGAAGCUGAUCUCGGUACCAGGGUCUCUCUGCCUGGAAGCUGAGUUUGAGAGCCGGGGGCUCCAGCAGGGACGCUCCGGGGCAGCCCGCCCUUUGCCCAGCUUCCUGCAGCCCUUUGCACCAGGCCUGGUGUCUGCCUCACCAGCCACCUUCAGAAGAAGAAUGUCCACUGGGCAGUGGCAGAGCCCUUCCCAAGGACCUCAGGCCCAUUUGGGGUCAUUCCCAGGCGUGGGUGCUCUUUCCAGGACCACCCACCCCCCGCCGUGGCCUCUGCUCUGAGAGAAGCUGGGACACAUCGCCCUUCAGGUCCGGCUCAGGCUGAGGAAGCCACUGGGGACACCUGGGCGGCUGCUGGCAAGAGGCAGGGAGGAAUUUGUCCCCAACGCCACGUGUUAGUAGAGGUUCUCCAGAAAAAGGGAACCAAAGUUGUGUGUGUGUGUGUGUGUGUGUGUGUGUGUGCUCGCACACACUACCCAAAACAGGGAGGAAAGAGAUUUCCUUGAAGAGAUGGGCAUAUUGGCUGUGGGAGCGGGCAAGUCUGAGACCUGCAGGGCUGGCUGGAGGCCCGGGGGGAGUUGCCGCUGUGUCCCCCGGUCGGGAGCAGAGGGCCCCCCUCCUCAGGUGACCUCAGUCUUUCUUCUCUGUCCGCCUUCACCUGACUGGCUGAGGCCCACCCACAUCACAGAGGCUGAUCUGCUUUUACUCAAAGUCUCCUCACGUUUAACCUCAAGACAGAGAGCACACGCUAUCACUCAGAUGCGAAAUCUAAAAUGUGGCCCAGAGGAACCUACGUACCGAACAGACACAGACCCACAGACAUGGGGGGCACACUUGCGGUUGCCCAGGGGGAGGGGGAGGGAGCGGGAUGGACGCGGAGUUUGGGGCUCAUACCCGCAACCUAUUGCACUGAGAUGGAUGAGCAAAUGAGGUCCCGCUGUAUCGCCCAGGGAAUUACAGCCAGUUACUGGUGACAGAACACGAUGGAAGAGGACAUGGGAAAAAGAAGGUGUAUCUAUGUCACACUGGGUCACUGUGCUGUGCAGCAGCAGUUGACAGAACUUUGUAAAUCAACCAUACUCGAAUCAAAAAGAUUUUUGGAACCUCAUCUCAUCUAAAGAAUACCUUCCCAGCAACAUCUGGACCGGCGUUUGAUCAAACCUCUGGGUCUCGCGGGCCUGGCCAGGUCGAUGCGUCCAGUUAACCCUCUCGCUCCAUGGCUGGCCUGCAGAGUGACACUCGUCACAGCGUACGUGGGCUCCCAGGGAAACGCAGGAACACGGUCCCAUUUCCAUGACCCAGCCACCCCCCACCACAGCGCUCUAAUGUCCCUCUCAGCACCCCUGAUGCAGGGAGGAAAGCGCUGCUAACUGUUGGGAACAAGACACAUGAAACCAGCCGUGUAAAUUGGGGGCCCCAAACUAAGGCUCCAAUUGCAUUAGGAGUGUAUAUGCUUCUGUCGUUUUCCAUCAAGACGGGAAAAAACAAAACAAAACGGAAAAACUCUGAGCACCAUCCUGUGUCGGGGGAUGGUUACCUCCUCUGGUUGUGCUUUUGGCGCUUGCCGUCAUUUUCAAACUGGCGCCUCAUCCCUUGCUUUCAGGGCCCCCUUGUUUGAAGGCCAUUGGGAGCCACACCCCCAGGUGGCAGAAUUCACGCUGGGCAGAGCAGGUCAGGGCUGCGAGGGGGAGGUGGCCUCGUGGUCUUGCGGCCCUGGUGGAGCCUGGGCAACUUUGCCCCCGUGUGGGCCUGGCCUGUGGUAGGCACACUGCACACAGGCGCUGUCGCCUGGCUGCCUCCCAUAAUGCCUGCUGUCAGGGAAGACAUGCUAGGGGCUUCCUCGAAGCCGUGUUUUCCUUUCUGGAGGCGUGUGUGGCAGUGGGAGUGGGGCCUGUUUAUCCUCAGCAGCUCUGCUGCCCACUGUGCUGCCCACCUGCCAUGCGUGCACCACCCUCAUCGAAGCGCCAAGGCCGCCUGGGGAGGGACGCCUUCUGCUCUCUGGUGCUGGCCCCAGCUCCUGGGAAGGGCAGGAAUUCCCGAUUGCCCCCUUUUAUCUGCUCUUUUUCGUCCAUGAGAACAGAACCCCAAUUUUCAGCUGACCACAGCUCCUAAAAAUCUCCAUUCCCCAGCCUCCUUAGCGGCUGUGUAUGGCCAUGUGACUAAGUUCUGCUUGAUGGAAUAUAAGCCAGAAGUGGCUGCUUCAUAAAGGAUAAUGAGCAUGUCCCUCGUGCCUCUUCACUUCCUCAAUCCUACCACCUGGAAGUUGAAUGUGAUGGCUGGAACUCUAGCCACCAUUUUGGGGCCAUGAGGGCAAAGGCUACACCCUGCAGAGAAUGGAGUGGGAAGCUGAAAGGAGCCUGGGUCCUCUGGGAGCAGAGGUGUCUCUCAGCAUUGCUCCAUCCUACUUCCAGACUUUAACCCGAGAGAGAAAUAACAUCCCCCUGAAGCCACUGUGGUUGGUGCACCUCGUCUUAUGUGACACACGAGGGAAGCUCAGGCAGUUGGCAACUCAUGGCUGGAGAAGAUCCUGGUGCUUUAGUGGAGUGGCAGUGAGGGAUCAGAGAUGCAGGGCCGAGGGCGAGGCAUGGGGGUUGAGUUCAGCCCCUGGGGUGGUGGGAGAAAAGCAGAAACUCCUAGUCUUUGUAUACCCUGUCUUGAGUUGGGUGAGACUGUUGGCCAGGAAAGACAGCUGGUGGAUUCUGAGGACGGGAGUCUUCACCAUGAGGCUGUAAAGUGGCCUGUGCCUUAGAAGUUGCAAACUUUUCUUUCCCAAAUUACCAACGGGUGCAAACCUGAGCUUGCAAUGCACGCAUUUUGUAACUGUUAGUUCUUUUGACCGUGGCAUCAAAUUGCCUUCAGCAGCUUCACCUGGCGCCGCCGCCUCCUCCUCCUCCGUCGGCCAGCGCCCUAGGAGGGCCUGGAUGGGCAGCCUCCUUGGCCCAGCCACCCUGCUCCGCGCUGAGGGCCUGGCUGCAGCUCUGAAGCCCCGCUCCUCAUGGCUGGGAUGGCUCUCUGAGUUUGGGGUUUCCCACGGUACAAUGGGGCACACUGACAGCAAGCUCUGCAAGGUGGCAGAGCUGGAUUCCAUGCUUACCAUACACGCAGGGCAAAGGGAGGCUUAACAGUACACUGGAAAACCUCUCGCAUCACCUACACUGAAUGCCUACAUCAUUAAAUAAACCUACAUUA